rnacentral:tRNA from 1 species
GCCCUCAUCGUCUAGUCUGGUCUAGGACGCAUGGUUCUCAUCCAUGUAACAUCGGUUCAAAUCCGGUUGAGGGCG